AUUGAACGCUGGCGGCAGGCCUAACACAUGCAAGUCGAACGAGUGGCGGACGGGUGAGUAAUGUCUGGGAACCUGCCCGAUGGAGGGGGAUAACUACUGGAAACGGUAGCUAAUACCGCAUACCAUCGGAUGUGCACAGAUGGGAUUAGCUAGGAGGUGGGGUAACGGCUCACCAAGGCGACGAUCCCUAGCUGGUCUGAGAGGAGGACCAGCCACACUGGAACUGAGACACGGUCCAGACUGCUACGGGAGGCAGCAGUGGGGAAUAUUGCAGAAUGGGCGCAAGCCUGAUGCAGCCAUGCCGCGUGUAUGAAGAAGGCCUGCGGGUUGUAAAGUACUUUCAGCGAGGAGGCGUUACUCGCAGAAGAAGCACCGGCUAACGCCGUGCCAGCAGCCGCGGUAAUAG
rnacentral:rRNA from 1 species